rnacentral:tRNA from 1 species
UUUUCAGUAGCUCAGGGGCAGAGCGGAUGGCUGUUAACCAUUAGGACGGUGGUUCAAAUCCAUCCUGAAAAG